rnacentral:lncRNA from 10 species
CAAAGUGUUAUCACAGUAUAGGUAAGCCUAUGAGCUUUGGAGAAAUUUAUCUUGUUAGAUUUACUCUACUGUGUUCAGCAAAAAGGGUUGUGGAAGGGUUGCAGUUAGUAGAAGAUGGGAAAGAUGGGAAAAAGGUAUACCAUUAAAUCUGCGGUGGUGAACUCUUGGCUGUAUUUGAGGAGAAGUGAUUUUUACCACUCAGAAUCAUCUUUAGAAUAUGAUAUGCUAGGACUAUUAUCUUCAGGUCCAUAUUUUACAGAAUGCUGUCCUGAUGUGGGCCCAGAGAACUUACUCUGAGAAGGAAGCAAAAUUUGCUAGCAAAAUACUCAAUGCUCUUAGAAGAAAUGAUAAUGACAAAACCUUUGUGCAAGAGGCAAGGUAGUUGUGACUAUAUAUAUCUGCAUGACAAGAAUGAUGUCUACACUUAUUUAUUUUCAAUUAAUAAAUCAUUUUAGCUGCUUACCAACAAAGCAUGCCAGUUUCCAGUUUUUCCAUAGUUAUAGACUUUGCUUUAGUUAUUUUAUGUUAGCUAAUGAUUCUACUAUCAGAUUUGGUAUAUUUUGGAUGGUGAGAUCAAUUCUGUGCAGACUGUAAGAGGCAAAUAGCAUGUUUAAUUCAUGUGAUAUCACGACCAGGACAAUUUCUAUUUCAUGGCUUGUCCCUGGAGGGUGUGUCAAGCUGGCUACAGAAACAAAUAUGAGCUGAAUCUGGGAAGAUUGGAAGAAGGCACCUUGAGCAUGGGGAAUCUCACUGGGUAAGUGCAGACCUUCACGGGGACCUGGAGUCCUACCCAGUGGACCAGCCGCUGGAUUGAUUCACUUGACUUCAGCUAGAGGAGGGGUCUGGGUUUAGGGGGUGAGGCUUCUACCCUUUUCAUAGCCCACUGACCCAACCUAUGGCAGACAGGUGACCCCCAGGGAUCUUCAGACUUCUCCACCAGGAUGCACUCAGUAUCUGAAUCAGGUGUCCUAUAUUAUUAGUUUAUAUUAGGUUGGUGCAAAAGUAAGUGCGAUUUUUGCCAUUAAAAUUAAUAUUUUAAAGUCCUGAAGGCUGGGUUGGCUAUUGUUUGAUUUGAUCCAUCUUUCUAACUUGCUGUGAUACUUUGGAUCCUUAUUGUAUGGGGUAGGUAUUUAUUCAGUUGUUUUCUCACGGACCUCUCUACACUUUUUAGGAACUAG